UACGAAGGGGGCUAGCGUUGCUCGGAAUGACUGGGCGUAAAGGGCGCGUAGGCGGAUGGCACAGUCAGAUGUGAAAUUCCUGGGCUUAACCUGGGGGCUGCAUUUGAUACGUGUUGUCUUGAGUGAGGAAGAGGGUCGUGGAAUUCCCAGUGUAGAGGUGAAAAUUCGUAGAUAUUGGGAAGAACACCGGUGGCGAAGGCGGCGACCUGGUCCUUAACUGACGCUGAGGCGCGAAAGCGUGGGGAGCAAACAGG
rnacentral:rRNA from 1 species